rnacentral:rRNA from 1 species
UACGUAGGGUGCAAGCGUUGUCCGGAAUUAUUGGGCGUAAAGAGCUCGUAGGCGGUUUGUCGCGUCGGCUGUGAAAACCUGGGGCUCAACCCCGGGCCUGCAGUGGGUACGGGCAGACUAGAGUGCGGUAGGGGAGACUGGAAUUCCUGGUGUAGCGGUGAAAUGCGCAGAUAUCAGGAGGAACACCGGUGGCGAAGGCGGGUCUCUGGGCCGAUACUGACGCUGAGGAGCGAAAGCGUGGGGAGCGAACAGG